GACGUAGGAUGCGAGCGUUGUCCGGAUUUAUUGGGCGUAAAGAGUUCGUAGGUGGUUUGUUAAGUCUGAUGUUAAAGACUGAGGCUCAACCUCGGAAAUGCAUUGGAUACUGGCAGACUUGAGUGUAGUAGAGGCAAGCGGAAUUCCAGGUGUAGCGGUGAAAUGCGUAGAUAUCUGGAAGAACACCAGUGGCGUAAGCGGCUUGCUGGGCUAUAACUGACACUGAGGAACGAAAGCCAGGGUAGCGAAUGGG
rnacentral:rRNA from 1 species